rnacentral:rRNA from 1 species
CACGUAGUUAGCCGUCCCUUUCUGGUAAGAUACCGUCACAGUGUGAACUUUCCACUCUCACACUCGUUCUUCUCUUACAACAGAGCUUUACGAUCCGAAAACCUUCUUCACUCACGCGGCGUUGCUCGGUCAGACUUCCGUCCAUUGCCGAAGAUUUCCCUACUGCUGCCUCCCGUAGGAGUCUGGGCCGUGUCUCAGUCCCAGUGUGGCCGAUCACCCUCUCAGGUCGGCUAUGUAUCGUCGCCUUGGUGAGCCGUUACCCCACCAACUAGCUAAUACAACGCAGGUCCAUCUGGUAGUGAUGCAAUUGCACCUUUUAAGCAAAUGUCAUGCAACAUCUACUCUUAUGCGGUAUUAGCUAUCGUUUCCAAUAGUUACUCCCCGCUACCAGGCAGGUUACCUACGUCGUUACUCACCCGUUCGCCAACUCAUCGUAGAAGCAAGAGUCCUCCUUCCUACGCGUUCCUACUUCGUCACUGUACGUAGUUACGGACCACCGGCCGACCACGUCGUUCCGUUCCG